rnacentral:rRNA from 1 species
AAUGUAGGCGGAUUGGCAAGUCAGAUGUGAAAGCCCCGGGCUCAACCUGGGAACUGCAUUUGAUACUGCUUGUCUUGAGUUUGGUAGAGGUGGAUGGAAUUCCCGGUGUAGAGGUGAAAUUCGUAGAUAUCGGGAGGAACACCAGAGGCGAAGGCGAUCCACUGGGCCAAUACUGACGCUGAGAUUCGAAAGCGUGGGGAGCAAACA